rnacentral:rRNA from 1 species
AUUGAACGCCGGCGGCAGGCUUAACACAUGCAAGUCGAGCGGAGAUGAGGUGCUUGCACCUUAUCUUAGCGGCGGACGGGUGAGUAAUGCUUGGGAAUCUGCCUAUUAGUGGGGGACAACAUCCCGAAAGGAAUGCUAAUACCGCAUACGUCCUACGGGAGAAAGCAGGGGAUCUUCGGACCUUGCGCUAAUCGAUGAGCCUAAGUCGGAUUAGCUAGUUGGUGGGGUAAAGGCCUACCAAGGCGACGAUCUGUAGCGGGUCUGAGAGGAUGAUCCGCCAUCGUGGGACUGAGACACGGCCCAGGAUCCUACGGGAGGCAGCAGUGGGGAAUAUUGGACCAUGGGGGGAACCCUGAUCCAGCCAUGCCGCGUGUGUGAAGAAGGCCUUAUGGUUGUAAAGCACUUUAAGCGAGGAGGAGGCUACUGAGACUAGUACUCUUGGAUAGUGGACGUUACUCGCAGAAUAAGCACCGGCUAACUCUGUGCCAGCCGCCGCCGCGGUAA